rnacentral:rRNA from 1 species
AGUGAACGCUGGCGGUAGGCCUAACACAUGCAAGUCGAACGGCAGCACAGUAAGAGCUUGCUCUUACGGGUGGCGAGUGGCGGACGGGUGAGGAAUACAUCGGAAUCUACUUUUUCGUGGGGGAUAACGUAGGGAAACUUACGCUAAUACCGCAUACGACCUACGGGUGAAAGCAGGGGAUCUUCGGACCUUGCGCGAUUGAAUGAGCCGAUGUCGGAUUAGCUAGUUGGCGGGGUAAAGGCCCACCAAGGCGGCGAUCCGUAGCCGGUCUGAGAGGAUGAUCAGCCACACUGGAACUGAGACACGGUCCAGACUCCUACGGGAGGCAGCAGUGGGGAAUAUUGGACAAUGGGCGCAAGCCUGAUCCAGCCAUACCGCGUGGGUGAAGAAGGCCUUCGGGUUGUAAAGCCCUUUUGUUGGGAAAGAAAAGCAGCAGGUUAAUACCCCGCUGUUCUGACGGUACCCAAAGAAUAAGCACCGGCUAACUUCGUG